UAGGGAAUCUUCCGCAAUGGGCGAAAGCCUGACGGAGCAACGCCGCGUGAGUGAUGAAGGUCUUCGGAUCGUAAAACUCUGUUAUUAGGGAAGAACAUAUGUGUAAGUAACUGUGCACAUCUUGACGGUACCUAAUCAGAAAGCCACGGCUAACUACGUGCCAGCAGCCGCGGUAAUACGUAGGUGGCAAGCGUUAUCCGGAAUUAUUGGGCGUAAAGCGCGCGUAGGCGGUUUUUUAAGUCUGAUGUGAAAGCCCACGGCUCAACCGUGGAGGGUCAUUGGAAACUGGAAAACUUGAGUGCAGAAGAGGAAAGUGGAAUUCCAUGUGUAGCGGUGAAAUGCGCAGAGAUAUGGAGGAACACCAGUGGCGAAGGCGACUUUCUGGUCUGUAACUGACGCUGAUGUGCGAAAGCGUGGGGAUCAAACAGGAUUAGAUACCCUGGUAGUCCACGCCGUAAACGAUGAGUGCUAAGUGUUAGGGGGUUUCCGCCCCUUAGUGCUGCAGCUAACGCAUUAAGCGCUCCGCCUGGGGAGUACGACCGCAAGGUUG
rnacentral:rRNA from 1 species